rnacentral:tRNA from 2 species
GGCGCCAUCGUCUAGCGGUCAGGACAGGGGGUUCUCAGCUCUCAAACCGGGGUUCGAUUCCCCGUGGCGCUACCA